GACGAACCGAGCGAACGUUGUUCGGAAUCACUGGGCUUAAAAGGCGCGUAGGCGGGCUGUCAAGUCUGGGGUGAAAUCCCACGGCUCAACCGUGGAACUGCCUUAGAUACUGACGGCCUCGAGGGAGAUAGGGGCGAGCGGAACUGUGAGUGGAGCGGUGAAAUGCGUUGAUAUUCACAGGAACUCCGGUGGCGAAGGCGGCUCGCUGGAUCUUUUCUGACGCUGAGGCGCGAAAGCUAGGGGAGCAAACGGG
rnacentral:rRNA from 1 species